GGGGUUGUGGCUCAGUGAUCGAGCACUUGCCUAGCAUGUGUGAGGCACUGGGUUCGAUCCCCAGCACCACA
rnacentral:tRNA from 1 species